rnacentral:rRNA from 1 species
CCUACGGGAGGCAGCAGUCGAGAAUCAUUCACAAUGGGGGAAACCCUGAUGGUGCGACGCCGCGUGGGGGAAUGAAGGUCUUCGGAUUGUAAACCCCUGUCAUGUGGGGGCAAAUUAAAAAGAUAGUACCACAAGAGGAAGAGACGGCUAACUCUGUGCCAGCAGCCGCGGUAAUACAGAGGUCUCAAGCGUUGUUCGGAAUCACGGGGCGUAAAGGGUGCGUAGGCUGUUUCGUAAGUCGUGUGUGAAAGGCGCGGGCUCAACCGGCGGACGGCACAUGAUACUGCGAGACUAGAGUAAUGUAGGGGGAACCGGAAUUCUCGGUGGAGCAGUGAAAUGCGUAGAUAUCGAGAGGAACACUCGUGGCGAAGGCGGGUUCCUGGACAUUAACUGACGCUGAGGCACGAAGGCCAGGGGAGCGAAAGGGAUUAGAUACCCUUGUAGUC